rnacentral:rRNA from 1 species
GACGAACGCUGGCGGCGUGCUUAACACAUGCAAGUCGAACGGAAAGGCCCUGCUUUUGUGGGGUGCUCGAGUGGCGAACGGGUGAGUAACACGUGAGUAACCUGCCCUUGACUUUGGGAUAACUUCAGGAAACUGGGGCUAAUACCGGAUAGGAGCUCCUGCUGCAUGGUGGGGGUUGGAAAGUUUCGGCGGUUGGGGAUGGACUCGCGGCUUAUCAGCUUGUUGGUGGGGUAGUGGCUUACCAAGGCUUUGACGGGUAGCCGGCCUGAGAGGGUGACCGGCGACAGUGGGACUGAGGUACGGCCCAGACGCGUACGGGAGGCAGCAGUGGGGAAUAUGGCAGAAUGGGCGGAAGCCUGAUGCAGCAACGCCGCGUGCGGGAUGACGGCCUUCGGGUUGUAAACCGCUUUCGCCUGUGACGAAGCGUGAGUGACGGUAAUGGGUAAAGAAGCACCGGCUAACUACGUG